UGAGGUUCUUUUCCAACCACCUCAAGAACAACUACAUGUUGCUUUGCAUUCAAAUUGAAUUUGUGCCUAUGCAUGAACAUCGACAUCUCAGAGCUCUUGAUUUAUCAAAAUUAUCUUUUAAUCUUUCCCUUUUCUCAUCCAUCCUCCAUAGACGAUAUUCGGGUCUAUCAAGCCCAAGAACCACUGCGACGUGAUUUUAGCAUUUCAUGUGAGUCCAUUUGAAUAUUCUUUUCUCCUCUGGCUCGAUAUGUCAAUAAAAAUACAUGCAUGGACCUGUAGUUUGGAAAUUUCAAAAUUUUCAAUUUGACUUUCGAAAUGUUUCAACUGCGUGUUUUAUUUCAUGAGUGACUUCAUUUUGUGAAUAUAAUUUUAGAUACUUCGUUAUGUAACACGAGUCAUAUCGUCGGAACAAUUGCAUCAUAUAAAAAUAACUUUCUUUACGUCAUUAUUGUAACCUUUUAUUCCUUACAUUUUUCUUAGAGUUACAUUUCUAAGACAUACCAGAUGUUUGAGAAAAUGUCAAAAUAAGAAAGUAUUUGAGUAUCUAACUUCUCUUAUAUAAUUUACAGUAAAAUAGGAAAGCUUUUAACAUUUGAGAAUAUGAUAAAUGAAGAAAACAUUCACAAAGCUAAAUGUUGUAAUUGAUCUUCAUUUUCCUUGAAAAGGUUUAAUUUCUUUCUGCCAAACAUCAGUCGAUUAAUUUGCAUUACUUUAAUUUGAUUGCAUGUUCUGAUUUCUGAUUAUUGCUUGUAAAUUAUGUACUAUGAUAAAUGGUUAUAGUUUGUCUAAAGCUUAACAUUCUGACAAAUUUCUAGCAAUGAGAAUAGUUAUAAAGAAAGCUCAAAAUUAAGCUUAAAGAAUCCUAGCUACAUAUAUAUUAUGUGCGACACAAAAUCGACAAAUAUACUUACCCUUCGAUAGUGAUUCUGCAUCAUCUUUGAAACUUAAACAUGGUACUUUCUAAACCGGGAGCAAAACAAAAAUAUGGAUGAUUAUGAGACAUUGAAGAGGUAGGAAUUUAGUUAUUUCUGAAUGUUACUUAUCCCUACUCCUUCCCAUUUGUCUUUCUAUCGUCUAACAAUCCUAUAUUGUGCUAUUUUUUUUUAAUAUCGGAGUUAAAAUAAUGUUUACCUUGCAGGUGCUAUAUAAUGCUGAUAGGUAGAGUUUUGUUAUUCCUUUACUUCCAAC
rnacentral:lncRNA from 1 species